UACGUAGGGCGCAAGCGUUAUCCGGAAUCAUUGGGCGUAAAGAGCGUGUAGGCGGCUCGGUAAGUCCGCUGUGAAAGUCCAGGGCUCAACCCUGGAAUGCCGGUGGAAACUGUCGAGCUAGAGUCCGGAAGAGGCGAGUGGAAUUCCUGGUGUAGCGGUGAAAUGCGCAGAUAUCAGGAGGAACACCAAUGGCGAAGGCAGCUCGCUGGGACGGUACUGACGCUGAGACGCGAAAGCGUGGGGAGCAAACAGG
rnacentral:rRNA from 1 species